CUUGGACACCCAUGGCAACCUGGACGAGCAGAUCGCGCAGCUCAUGCAGUGCAAGCCGCUCGCCGAACAGGAGGUUAGGGUGCUUUGCGAAAAAACUAAGGAGGUUUUAAUGGAAGAAAGCAAUGUUCAGGCCAACUGUUCAAUCUGUUCAAAGCUCACAAAAAUCCUAGACAAAAUCCAAUUGCUUAUUCCUAUA